rnacentral:misc_RNA from 1 species
AUUUUUCCCAAAGUAUGUUUCUUUAAGAUUGUAAACUGCUGAGGAGAUUUUUUUUGUGGACAGAUAUCCCAAGUGUUCAACUUUUAUUUAAAUCAGUGUCUCAGUUAGAGUAGUACUAUUUAUUUAUUUUUUAAUUUCAGUUGCGCAGAUUUUUUGCAUUUAAAUGAUGUUGCUUUCUUCAAGUCAAAGAGCAAAAAAAUGCAUUUAAAUGACGUUGCAUUCUAUAAUAAAAAAAAAAAUGUAGGGAAAUUUGGAUAAUGAGUGAUUAAUCUGAGACUACCCUUUAAUAUGCUAAAAGUAAUGUAAAUUUGGCAUUGUUAAAGAAUGGACUGUAAAAUGUUGAUGAUGUUGUUUUAAGUAUAAAGUCGUACAAUACUGAGCAGUGCUCUCUGUUUUCAGGUUUUCUUUGUGUAAUUUAACUUACAUUUUGGUAUUAGUUCUACAUGGAUAUUGAUGUUCAACAAAACAAAAAAAUUUAAUGUACAAAUUUCAUAUCUAUAUCCAUAGAAAUGUUACAUAUGUACAUGCAAAUGUAUUGGUUUUGAAAUUUAAAGAAUUAUAACUUAUGGAUGAAAACAAAAUAUGACAUUGAUGACUGCUUUAGUACAUAUCACUAACACUUGUUAAAUUAUUAAGCCAGUUCCCAUGACAGAGUAUUUUUUAAAAUCUUUUUAUGCAGAAUGUUUGUUUGGAAUGCUAAGAUCUUUUUUCCACAGAGUAAUUUUCAGUUCAGUUUUCCUUCAAGAAAAGAUGCUUGGUCACUUGUGUUGAAAAAGAAAGUUAAACUCGAGGACUAGAUAUUUCUUCAUGUCUCCCCAUGGCUGCACUGUACAAUGAAAAAUUAAAAACCAACCAGUAUUUAAAAACUGAGAGUACCAAUAUGAAUUACCUAUUACAUGCUGGGUGAAAAAUUUCAGCUUCUAGAUGAUAUAUAUACUGUAGAAUUCUAAUUAAACACAAGGCAUUAAUAAAAAGGCAUAGUCACAAAAAGCAACUCUUGUAGAUUGUAAAAUCUUGCUUGUUUUUCAGACAGUUUUUAAUUAUAUGAAAUUAUAACAAAAUACUGGGGCUCACUAUUUUAUAUUCUUAGGAUUUGAUACAAAACAGCAGAAUAAAGUACUCACAUGAAAUAAGGAAUUAUGAGAAACAAUAUUGUUUUUCAGUUUGGGGUUUUUUUUUUAUUAAAGUGUAUUGCAGCCAUGAGGAGACUUGAGCUCUAGAUGUUUAGUUAUUGUGACUGUAACCCUGUGGUUGUUUUUGCUUUGUAUCGUUAGUUUUGGUGUUCAUGACCUCCGGUGUGGAAGGUCACCUCAUUUGGAAGAGGUCAAGGUUAAGUGCUGUGGAAGGUACCACAUAAUGUCCAGCUCUCUGUAAGGUCACAGACAGUGGAUAAACAAUGCCCUGAACUUGCUGCCAGAAAUAAAAUGCUAGCAAAUAUC